rnacentral:lncRNA from 1 species
CUCAGCCACAGUUACAAAUUAAUUCAUGAAAAAGAAAAAGGAGCCAGUGAUAAUUAUGCAUUCUUUUAAAAGAGUAAUAAAUUUUCAACAGGCUCAUAAAAUGAGACCUGACAUAUAAGCUACCAUUCUGCCAUACUCUUAAAUCCAAACUGCUUGCUAUGAAUGAUGCUACUAUUUUAUACAGUACACAGUAAAAUCAGUAAAUAAGUUGUCAC